ACCAGUAAGACUCACUUUUAAAUGGUGGCCCGUGAUUGGCCAAAAGGACCGUUUCAGUUACCUAAUUUCUUACCGAAAACGUAAACUCCGAACGCAACAAUUGCGCGGAUAACAAAAUUUCACUUAAAAUUCAAAUACAUAAAUAUUAAAAUUAAUAAUUUACAUAAUAAAAUUACGGCGUUAAUUUUACCGUUUACAGUUUUCAAGUCCAUUAGUCCUUAGAGGGGUAUCAACAAUACCUCGUUCAAAUAGUCCGGUAAAAAUCCAAAGAAUCACUUUUCCAUAGACAUACAUAACCAAAUAUUGCCGUUUCUGAAAAUAAAUGAUAUUAUACAUAGAGCAAACAAAAAUAAAAUAAAUCGUAAAUAAUAAUAAAUAAUUAAACUGUCAAAACAAACAUGUUGCAGUACAGAUUUUGCCGCCCUUGUCAAUUACAUUGAACAGUGCUCUUUGACCUGUUCAAAACGGUGCAAUGUGAUUGGCACUUCUCUUUCUCCGUCGCACAAUACACAACACUCUUCGUUGCCUAGCAACGCGCGCACCAAACGACAAACAAAAAAAACAACUUGAGAGAGACUACCUCUCCUCGAUUCGUUUUUUACCGUUGCGCGCCUGAAAAUCGCGCCUUUUUAAACACUUUUUAUCGGGUCGUCGCUGCUAACAGACCUGCGCGAAGAAGUUCACGGAUUUUGCAGUGCAAAAUCUUCGAAGGCUGGAACUGCUGCUGCUCUCCGACAGCUUCUGCCUUGAGCCGCUCCUGUUGAGAAGGACUCGGGAGGACUUACUUACUGUGAGUAUGAUUCACUAAAGGGAUUCGAAGGGGUGCAAUGUACACGUGAGUCAACAAUAGGACGUUCUCCAGGUCACGUCACGGCAAUGGGUCAACGUCCAUCUGCGGUGAUGACUGCAUCCUUGCUGCGACUCCUCCUUCCUGCAGCGGACAGCGGCGUCGAGACGGCGCCUGUCCUCAAAACGACCAACAAACCUGGCCUGGUUCACCACGCGUCGACGGGGUCUGGCGUGGGGCGAUGAUGCUGUACCAGACAGCACGGCAUCUGGCACUGCAGCUGACGUCAUCAACUGCUGAUGUGGCGGCGUCCAGCCGCCCUGCCUCACGACUACGCGCGAGACGGCGUCGUGGCGUCUGCGGUGCUGAUUGCGUGGGGCGAGGUCACCACUUCCCACAAGGAAGCACUCGUCUAUUCCCAUCACUGUUAGAUCCACAUUCUUCGCUAUUCUUCACAUCAUUCGAAGAAUACUAUUCAAGCAACUAUGACAGUGAUGCGAGUGAAUAGUGUUGAGACGACGUAAUUUUCUCGUAUAGGGGCUUCUCCCAAUAAAUUCUUAAAAAUCAUCGAUUUCAAA